UGCUUAGUGCAGUUGGUAAGUCAUUGCCUCCCCUGUGUGGAAGGUCUUGGGUUCGAGCCCCAAAGGGGCAA
rnacentral:tRNA from 1 species